AGUGAACGCUGGCGGUAGGCCUAACACAUGCAAGUCGAACGGCAGCACAGUAAGAGCUUGCUCUUACGGGUGGCGAGUGGCGGACGGGUGAGGAAUACAUCGGAAUCUACUUUUUCGUGGGGGAUAACGUAGGGAAACUUACGCUAAUACCGCAUACGACCUACGGGUGAAAGCAGGGGAUCUUCGGACCUUGCGCGAUUGAAUGAGCCGAUGUCGGAUUAGCUAGUUGGCGGGGUAAAGGCCCACCAAGGCGAUGAUCCGUAGCUGGUCUGAGAGGAUGAUCAGCCACACUGGAACUGAGACACGGUCCAGACUCCUACGGGAGGCAGCAGUGGGGAAUAUUGGACAAUUGGCGCAAGCCUGAUCCAGCCAUACCGCGUGGGUGAAGAAGGCCUUCGGGUUGUAAAGCCCUUUUGUUGGGAAAGAAAAGCAGCAGGUUAAUACCCCGCUGUUCUGACGGUACCCAAAGAAUAAGCACCGGCUAACUUCGUG
rnacentral:rRNA from 1 species